GCACUGCUGAGGAGUCCCAUUUAUAAAACGAAACGGCCGUCCAGUGC
rnacentral:hammerhead_ribozyme from 1 species